AGAAUGUAACAAGACUGUGCCAAAUUCAAGUUUUCAGACUUCAACACGUGCUGAUAAUGUUUGCCAACAGCCCUCACACUCCACACAAGGUUCAGGUUCUGCCGUUACACAAGUCACCAGGGCCAAAUCCGUGAAUCAGACUGAUGCAUUUAAGCUCCCAACUCAAACACAAUCAUCAAAUUCUAUGGAUUGGCAAAACCCAAAUAACAUGAAGGAUUUGGCUCAUAUUACCAUGUACUGGGAGGUCAUACGGAUACAUGAGCAACUCUGUCCAUCCUCCUCCUGUCAGGCAGAAUCUUUCCAGAUUUUGAGAGGAAAACAAGGAACAGAACUUCA